rnacentral:rRNA from 1 species
CGUAGGAGACGAGCGUUAUCCGGAUUUACUGGGCGUAAAGCGUGUGCAGGCGGUUCGGCAAGUUGGAUGUGAAAUCUCCCGGCUCAACUGGGAGGGGUCGUUCAAUACUACCGAACUUGAGGUCAUCAGAGGAAGGUGGAAUUCCGGGUGUAGUGGUGAAAUGCGUAGAUAUCCGGAGGAACACCAGUGGCGAAGGCGGCCUUCUGGGAUGAUCCUGACGCUCAGACAUGAAAGCUAGGGGGAGCGAACGGGAUUAGAGACCCCGGUAGUCCUAGCUGUAACCGAUGUAGACUUGGCGUCGGAGGGUUCAAAACCUUCGGUGUCGUAGCUAACGCGAUAAGUCUACCGCCUGGGGACUACGGCCGCAAGGUUA